UCUCCCUUCCUUGUGUACUUUCUUUCUUGGCAGGUUAGCAUCAAUUUUAGUUGUCAUCAAAGAAUUGGGGAAAUGUGGCUUCUCUUCGGGGAAGUGUUUAUAGACCCUGAUAGAUGUGGCGACUGAGAUUGAGGAUUGCAGCGGAUGCCUUUGGCUAGUCACCUGUCUUCUGACGGUCACCUCGCUUUUGACAGCUUGCUGAUGAUUGUGGGAUUUGACAGUUUAGAAGUUAGAGUGAACAUAAAUUCGUUAAGGAUGUUGACGUA
rnacentral:rRNA from 1 species